rnacentral:rRNA from 1 species
AUUGAACGCUGGCGGCAUGCUUUACACAUGCAAGUCGAACGGCAGCGGGGUAGUGCUUGCACUACUGCCGGCGAGUGGCGAACGGGUGAGUAAUAUAUCGGAACGUACCGAGUAAUGGGGGAUAACCAAUCGAAAGAUUGGCUAAUACCGCAUACGUCCUGAGGGAGAAAGCGGGGGAUCGCAAGACCUCGCGUUAUUCGAGCGGCCGAUAACUGAUUAGCUAGUUGGUGGGGUAAAGGCCUACCAAGGCGACGAUCAGUAGCGGGUCUGAGAGGACGAUCCGCCACACUGGGACUGAGACACGGCCCAGACUCCUACGGGAGGCAGCAGUGGGGGAUUUUGGACAAUGGGGGCAACCCUGAUCCAGCCAUGCCGCGUGUAUGAAGAAGGCCUUCGGGUUGUAAAGUACUUUUGUUAGGGAAGAAAAGGGAAGUGCUAAUACCACUUUUUGCUGACGGUACCUAAAGAAUAAGCACCGGCUAACUACGUG